AUGUUUUGUAGAAUGUAUCGCCUUUGAUAAGGCGAAGUCUAAAUACAACUUUCAACAACGGAUCUCUUGGUUCUCGCAUCGAUGAAGAACGCAGCGAAAUGCGAUAAGUAAUGUGAAUUGCAGAAUUCAGUGAAUCAUCGAAUCUUUGAACGCACCUUGCGCUCCUUGGUAUUCCGAAGGGCAUGCCUGUUUGAGUGUCAUUAUAUUCUCAACUCUCUUGAUUUUUUUUGGACCGCUUGAGUUGGAUUUGGAGGUAUGCUGGCCGUUAGGGAUCGGCUCCUCUUAAACAUUAGCUAAGCUUUUACUUGAUGGCAUGUGUAGUAAUUAUCUUCACCAGUGUAGCUAGCGAAAUAGGGUUGCUUCGAAUCGUAUCCUGUCGGGAGCAUAAUAAGAAAAAGGGCAACCUUUCUCCUUGGCUCUCUUGACCUUAACGAGUAGGACUACC
rnacentral:rRNA from 1 species